ensembl:lncRNA
GUGUGAAUGCUGGAGGAGGAUUUAAAAUGACCUUCGGCACUGGGACCAGUUUAACCAUUGAACCCAAGACCGUGUCCAAGCCGUCCUUCUACAAGCUGUCGGGCGACGGCACGUCGGCGUGUUUGGCGUCAGACUUCAGCCGGAAGAAAGCGGCCGAGGAGCAGCACGCCAUCUUCAGCCGCAGCGCGGCGGUGUUGGUCGAAGAAGUGUCACUGUACAACCAGCUGGUCCUGUUGACCUCUGAGGGGGAGGAGGAGGCGUGUGAGCAGGCUGAAGACGACUCUGAUGUCUGUGGAGAACCUGUUAAACCAGAUGGGAGGGUGAAUCUGAUGUCUGUCACCAUGUUGGGUCUCCGGCUGCUUUUCUUCAAAACCGUAGUGUUCAAUGUGCUGAUGACUCUGAGGCUGUGGAUCAGUCAGUGUGAGUAUAAUGAGCAUACAGUGCAUGUACAAGUACAUAGGUAUAUAAGUUUAUCAGUAUACUUAUAUAUUAUAUAUAUUAGUAUGUAUAUACAAAUAUGUAUCAUUUAUACUAUGUAUUACAUAGUAACAGUAUCUAUACAAGUAUAUAGUAUAAGUAUAUAUACGUUAAUUAAUUCCAUUUUCAAUUUAAUAUACAAUUCUACAGUACACAUAUUUUGA